UGAUGAUGUCAGGAGGCUAAUAAUUAAGUUACCUAAACGAGAUCCAACGCCUUGGCAUCUUGCCGAGAAAUCAAGGGUCUCCUUAACAGUCAUUUCUCCAGCAUGAAUAUCGUUCUGACUGAUGUAAGCCGCUGUCCUUCGAGGCUCAAACUCGUUGAGUUUAUGACCGUUGUAACUUAUCUCCCCUUCAACUCUUAAGCUCGGAUCCAAUCUUCCCGCCAAAGCCAACAGAAGCGUUGUCUUACCAGAAGAUGGUGGCCCCAACAAAAGUGCCAUCCUGUAUAAAUAUCAUCUAGUUAAUAACUUUGUACUACAAUAUCAUCUAGUUAAUAAGAUAUAUACAUACCUUGCUGGUUUGAUAAUUCCAGAUAUAUUUUUAAGAAUGCGAAGUUUAGCUUUCUCGGAGAAACUGAUGCCGAUGGAUGACAGGAGAGACUCAAUGAUAUUUCGGGCGGUGUUAGGCAGCGUUGGAAGCGCUCUAUCUCCGACAUGGCAAUCCGCUUCUACCGACAAAUUUUGAAACCGAACUUCUACUGUUGGAAGGGAGAUUCCAACCCUGAAAAUUGUUUGUUAAGUUAAUAUGGUUUGCACAUAUAUUGCUCUUAUGAAUCCUGUUCAAUAUAGUUUACAUGUUUCAUUGACUUAA
rnacentral:lncRNA from 1 species